rnacentral:lncRNA from 1 species
AAACCAACAGCGUUUCAGAUCUCAAGUCGUUUUCUUGAAUCACCACCACAUGUUCUUCCACCCCACACUCCUCAUCGACUCAACAUUAUCACUGUAGUUAUAAGUCGGCAGACGUGUGCAUCUUUCACUGUCUGUCAUUAGCAGUCCUAACUGUGCUGCUUUCUACACUCACUCCAUGACAAGAUGGUAUUAGCUUUCAUUUCUGAGAAGAUACCAUGGAGUCAUCGAAGAAACUCCAACCUCUGGUCAUCUGAGCACCACGUCGUCCGCCCACCCACACGAUCGCCUCUCCUACUCCAACACCAAACCCCAUGGCAGGCACCUCAGGAUCAGACAAGCCAUGUCUCCGAGUGUAGGCUUGGCACCUGUGGAGACAUGAGAGCCCACGUCUUCCUCUUCGAUGCUGAGAGCCCACCACCUGCUGGGUCUCGGAUUGGGUGGGGAUGCCACCGGCCGGUCGCUGUCUUUCUGGGGAACCAGAAUUCCGUCGCCACAGAAUUCCCUAACACUCCAAAGCCCCAAGCGUUCAUCACCAAACAUUUUUGGUCUUGCAUGUACGCACGCCAAUGGCGAUGAUUCCUCCACGUAAGAAAAGUAGUGAUCGGCUAUAUCUCUUCCUCGCUCCUCAUUGCCGCCCACACACACCCCCAUUUAACUCCCACCACACCUCGGCAGCCCUUCCCUCUCCCUAUCCGGCUGCCGCCCUCAACCACAUGAUCGAGGUCAUGUCCUCGUCCAACCCGUGCGACGUCUGCCGCGGCGCCGGCGGCCCGUGCCCCCGCUGCACCGACCUCAACCGCGCGGCGCCGACGUUCGACGACCCGGUAAUUCGAGGCCCCGGCGAGCUGCGCGAGUUCCAGUUCUUCGGGCACGACAGCGCGGUGGCGUGGAUGUUCAACGAUCUGAACUACGACGGGCCGCCGCCGGAGGAGGAAAGGCCGCCGGUGCCCUCUGGGUACCAGCCUCUUUGUAGCUUGAGAGAAACCAGCGAUGAGUUCGGAGAUGGGUUGACUUUUGAUGUCUGCUUGAGUGCGACUCGGCCGCCGGACUCGAUCCAGGUCUCGACCGCGGCAGGUCUGGCCAUGAGACAGCCAGCGUCGAGCGCCACCAUCGUGAGUGUCCAGCUCUGUUCGAUCUCUCAUAGCAGUUUUGUGGUUUCUGCGGUCAUCGGUGGCGGCAUAACCACGGCCUAUUAUUCUUCCACCUUUUAUUUCCCCUUCUUCUCCUCUUUAGAAGAUUUCCUAUUUCAUGUGACCUUGAAAUUUAUAAGGUAGGAAAAUUAUGUGCCCAAUCUCAAUCAAAUUAUCCACAAACAAAAAGAAAUCUAUCACGUACCGCAGCCAAGGAAUAUGCUGUAGAACUAGAAAGGAGAUCAGAUUCAUUGCACCAAUUCUAAUCUUUCCUGAUACCAAGUUCUUUCUUGUCGAUUUCUACACUAAUGAACCUAAUGGUCAUCUUCCAGCAUCAGCGAAUCCAUCAUCAUUAUCCGAUUGGAAACAUCCACUGAUACAAUUAUUAUUUCAUGUGCCUUCCGUAAGCAGGCAUUUUGAGCAAGCCAAACUUUUCUCUCAUGAAUCUGUUGUCUUAAUGACUCCCAAAACUUCUUCGUAGAUGUCCUUCUCGGGCACCACAUUCACGGACGCUUCGAGUGGGAGCAACCAAGAGGUGGGACAUCCCACGGACGGCGGCCGAGGCAGCGACGCCAGCAGGGAGAGAGAAGCCAAGAUCAUGAGGUACAAGGAGAAGCGGAAGAAGCGGCGGUACGAGAAGCAAGUGCGGUACGAGUCGAGGAAGGCGUACGCGGAAAUGAGGCCGAGGGUGAAAGGCCGGUUCGCCAAGACGCUGGCUGCGAACGACCAGCCGCCGCCGCCGGAGAGGUCUUAUGAUCCUAACAGCCUUGGUUUCAGCUGGUUCCGUUCCUAGCUAGACCUUGAUCCUUGAGCUGUGGUUUCGAUCUAACAAGUGUGACAGUGCUUUGAUCCUUAAUUGCUGCUUUACUCUUGUAUUGCUUGCUAAUCUUACUGUUGUAUUGCUUUUAAUCAUAUGUACUCUUGAGAUUAUGAGUAUCAACUCCCGAAUAUACACUCUUGUUCGUGUUAGGGUUCUUUAGUAUCUUAGGAGAUUCCAAGGAGUCUUAUUAGAUUCUAACUAUUGGAAGGAGUUCUAAUUAAAUUUAUUUUUAAAAUAAAUUUAAAUUUGAAUUUAACUCUAUAUAUAUAUAUAUAUAUAUUAUUCGUGUGUGUGUGUAUAUAUAUAUAUAUGCUUUUGAUUAAGAUAUGGAAAGAUCUUUUCUGUUGGUCGGAAUGAGGUAGAAAGACUGUGACUUCGCUCACAUCAGGAAUGUUUGACGAUAAAAGGAAGAUGAAGCUUUAACUCUCAAUUAUGGGGAAGCGAAGAGGAAGAGGCGCCAUUUCUGCUCCGGUGCCCCCUUUGCUACGAGGCCAACAAGGUAUGGUCUUUCCGCUCCGGGCCUUGCUUUUCUUUCCUUUGUAUUUCUCUCUGUCGGGUAAUGCGAAUACAAUUUCUUGUGUGAUUUGGUACUGCCAUUUCCAAGGUUGGAAUUAGAUGUUCAUUGCAGGGCAUGGGAAGGGAAAUUUAACAUUCAGGAUCGAGUCUUGUUUUCAUUCUUCCUCAUCGAUGCAGUAGUUCACUGAUCGAUCUCGUACUCGGAUCGAUACCUUGUCCGUGUUGCCUAUGUUGCAGCCCUUUUCUCAACCUAGAAAUACCAGAUCAGAUGUUUCCCGGGUGGAUUUUGGUCGUGACUGUUGCAUCUAAUAGUUUCCCUUCUUCCCCACUGAUUGACCAUGCCGCCGUUGUCCAAACAUUUUCACUUCUUGUGGACUGGGUCGUGAUUGCGUCUACCAUGUGUUCGUUAAAAGGACCACUGGCUGCUGUCAUGGAAAGUGCCCAAUUUGUGGCGUAGGUUUUAGGCCUAAGGAUGCGAACUCGAUCUACCCAUGAUCUGGAUUUGAGUGUUGUUCGUGUUGAAGAUACUAAAUCCAUUGUGGUAUUUGAUCCAUCUUUUAGUAGACAUGCAUCUAGCUGCUUUACUUGGUUGCUAAACAAAGAAUGAACAGUAGACCAAAAUUAGCAUCAAGGCUUAGUACCUGUUGAAAGCCUUCUUUCCUAUGGGGGUUGCUGCAUGAUUGCACUCCUUUAGAUGUCACUUUCAGUACAACAACUGAAGGGGGGCAGUGAAGCACCAUUGACUGCACAUGCCAUCAGUUUGUGAAGUGAUCAUGAAUAGGACAGAAACAUGUCAUCAACAAGGUGUUGUAUGUUCGCAAAGUUGAUGUAGUCACUCUUGAUAUGCCUGAUAUCUUGAAGAUAUAUGGAAUUUAGUAGGGAGUUUUAGGAGAUAGUUAUAGUAGUUAGGUUGUGUCCAUGUAUUGAUGGUCACUCAAACUAUCAUCUUCUUCCUCAUCUCCUCUUUGAAUUCCUAAUCUCCAUCAGAAAACAGCUUGGCUUCUGAUUCGCCUUGAACUCCAUCACUGGAUCAUCUUGCAGUGAGACUGUGUUGCAGACUUGGGUGGCUAACUUCAACUCCUCUUCCUUCUUCAGUGUCUUUCUCAUCAAUGCAUAUUAAUAUUGUGUCUCCAUUAAUUUCUCCACGGCAAUAAGCCUGUGACAGAAGUCUAGUUGAUAUAAAAAUCCAGUCUCUACCGACAACUCACAUGGAAGACUGUCAUUCUUCCUGUCUCCAGAAAGUUGGCACAGCUCAGCGGAGGGCAAUACUGAAACAGUUUGCCUAUUUGAGCUCAAUAGAAAACAAAAGGAAAUGACUCCAAAAGGAACUCUAUGACCUUGAUUUAGUCCACCUCACAUUGAGAUGGUUUACUCUCACUGCAGACAUGAUAUGAUCAUUUUGAUUUUGUGUGUUUGCUUGUGCAGACUAUUGUAUUAUAGCAAUAUGAAUGAUGGGGAUGUUACAGAUUAUAUUCAACUACUGCAAUUUAGUUUAAGGAUUAACAAGUAUAUCACAUGUUUCAAGUGAAGAUCAAACUUUUGCCUGGGGUUAGAUUCAGAUACUCAUCUGCAGUAGCAGAAUCUUUAUACAUUUAAAUGCUGAAUCAAAGAUUAUGGAACAAUGGCAGUCGAGGUUUGACAAGUAGUGAGAGACAAUACAUUUUCUGAGGUUGGAUUUUUCUCCUUAACACUGACAUGGUAGUAAUGGCCAGUACUGCGUGAGAAUUCAUUUAGUCCUCUCUGGCUUGGUGGAACAGUGGACUAAUCUGCUCGUCUCUUUCUCCUGUAACCCCAAUUGAAUAGUGUCUUUGUGGCCAUAGGUGUUGAGAGGUUUGAAAUGAAUGACAUGUGGAAACAGUACGCUUAUUCAAGUCUUCAAAAAAUGGACUGACCUCACUUGAAUAAGAGAAGGUGAUAUCAUAACCUGGAGUCAGGUGAUUGUGAUAGCAUUAGGAAAGGAAGGUCAAUCUCUCACCUAACAAGAAACAUAGUACAAAAUAAGGCCAUCAAUUAAAAGGGUAUUAAAUGUGGGUUAAUCCAAACCCAGGUGCAAUGGCAAAUGAGCAAUGGAGGGGUAAUCGUGCACUCGACGACAAUUAACACCCUUCUCAGGCAUCAUAUAGAGCACAGGAAAUCAUACUCCACCUUGAAUCGAACCCACCACCCAAGUAGUAGUACAUAUUACUCAAACAGGGCCAGCAGCACCUCUUCCUACCACCACUUAACACCGCCUCUCUCUCUCUCUCUCUCUCUCUCUAUCUAUCUCUCUCUGUCAUUGUUUUGCUGCACAAGUUUGGCCGUCAGCACCGUCAUCGUCGCCGUGUAAUGGCGACGGGAUGGGUCAAGUCCCUGCAUUGCAAGUCUAACGCCGUGGAAGACGUCGUCUAUCCGCCGACGCCGUCGUCCAAGAAGCCGCUGCUCUCCACCGUCUCUUGCAGCAACUCCUCUCACGCUGUUAAGGACGUCGUCUUCCUCUUCCCCAAGCAACCCCGCUCCUCCUCCUCCUCCUAUGCGCUGAACAAGAAGCCACUGCCCGAGACGACGCAGAACCACAAUCGCAAGCAGAGGCCCGCAAGAGCGUCUCCGUCGACGCCGGCGCACGGGCUCGUGCGGCCCGUCCACGCGGACCCGUUCCCGACGAUGGAGGAGCUGCCGAAGGGCCACUCCUCGCGGCGGGUGGUGGAGAUCAUCUUCAGCUCGAGCUGGUCCGCUUCCGCCGGGGGCGCGUUCCCGGGCGAGAUCGAGAUGCUCUUCCGGGUCGACAACCCGGCCUGGACGCUAGCCCGGUUCGAGGAGCACCGCGCGGCGGUCCGCGGUCGGGCCGUCGAUGGCGCCCGCUGCGCCGCGGACGGGAACGAGGUGUUGAGGUUCCACCUCGGGCGCGGCGCCGGCGGCGUGUACGACGCCGGGGUGGCGCGUGACGUGGUGCGGUCGUCGGCCGGGGGGAAGGCGAAGGGGGUCCGAACCUUCGCGGGGAGCGGCGGCGCGCACGCGAGUGGCGACGGCGGGGACGGUCGGAAGGGGAUGUUGGUGUGCCGGGUCAUCGCGGGCCGCGUCAGGGGCGAGUCGGACCACACCGAGUCGGACGCCGACUCGGUGAGCCUGGGCAACGGGGAGCUCGUAGUAUUCGAUCCCAGAGCGGUCCUCCCCUGCUUCCUUAUCAUCUACAAGCUCUAAACUCAACCCUCAACAAUGGCUUUCUCCCUUUCGUCUUCAAAGAUGUCUUCUUUUCUGGUGGUCAUCCUCCAACUCGGCUUACCGACCCGGCGAUGCCAAUGACUGUGGGGAGACGGUCUGAUCGUGUAAAAAUCCCUCUUUUUGGCACAGGUAUAGAAUUUUUGUCUGUUCUUGGUGUGCUUGAGUGUGACUGAGGCAUAUUGUCUGUGUUACAAGAAACCUGCAUCUUGUGAUGUUAGAUCUACUUGGGCAAAUGGUAGGACCAGUGUUCUCGACUUGCUAAGGGGAGCAAGAAUCCGCGAAGGUGAAGGAUCUGAGGUCCACUGCUCUGAUGAGAUUUGUCGAGUAUAGUGCAGCAUAUCGGUAACUUGAGAUUUUGUUGGAUCUUCUCAAUAUGUAUCAUGUGGUCAAUUCUAUAUUUAUGUGAGAUAGAUUGGAUGAUAGUAGAAGUAUAUAAUAUAUGUCAAGUGAAUAGAUACACAUCUAUUUUUAGCUCAUGCCCACUGCAUUCAUGGCAUGGUCCCUGCUUGGAUUCACUCAAUGGCAAGCAGAUUGUUCGGUAACUAUUGCCAUCGCCAUUGCCAUGCGAGAUGAAGAUUGUGGAAUUUUGGCAACCAUGGAAUCAUGUGAAAGAAACCUUCACUUCUCUACAGUGGGUUAGCAGAUAAAGGACAUGCGAGCUUAUCAUCCCAGGAUCUUCUCGAGGUAGGUUAGAUUGAUCAAACAUGGGUGCUACAUGCAAACAAGAAAGAGAGUCAUCAAUCUUGGACAGAUUAAAACAUUUGGUAUGUGCUGCUCUAACCAGAAAUAGAACUAUUGAUGCAUCAGCUACAGCCUACAAGAGAAUGUGGUGUUGGAGACAGUUGACCAAAAAGAGUCUCCUUGGUUUCAUCACUGACCAGAGAUGUCACUAAAUCAAUGUCCAUCAUCGAGGAGAAACUCCAUUACUAUGCUUUCACUCUGCUGCCAGGAGACAAGUUGGUAUUUCUGACUUCCUUCAUUCAUGACUGACUCCGUUUAGAAUUCAGGGACCAAACUCCAUUAAGCUACUGUGAUGCUUAUGUCAUCUUUGAUCAAAGGUUUGUCCUCGACCAGCCUUUCUGACUCAUUUAUAGCUUUUCUGGCGAAAUCAGAUCACUGUCAAAACAGCUCUUUACAGUUCUUGUGAUCUCUGUUUCAGCAAGGCAACCAGAUUCUCUUGAUUUAGGAGACUGGCAUUAAGGGAUGGUUAUUUUGGAUGUUUCAAAAGGACUAUACUAGUGAAACCAAGUAGAGGUCUGAAUCGAUUGAUGUAGAAAAUUAUGGAAUGAGUUAUGAUUAGAGAUGAAAUAUCACUGGAUUAUAAAGCUAACUAAGUUUUUUUCUUGAAUCGAUAUCUGAUCUAGAGAAACUCUGAAUGGUAGAUAUGGCCAUCACUGAAUCCUUAAAAAUGUGUUCAAGUGCAUGCUCUUUGAUGGAUGUCAUGAACAAGACUGCAACAAUCCCUAAACUAUCUUUUUUUGUUUCAGAUGAAUGUUGAGUGGGGAGGGCUGAGAAAGUUCCCAGCCCUCCUCUCUGCUUACUGAAACCUAUUAAUUUUCCAACUCAGUUAUGUUUGUGUCAUUAAAUGGGUGAGCAUUAGGUCCCACCAACCCACUUGGUAUGAUAUCAACCAACCAUUUACUCCUGAAUCAAAUUAUUGCCCAUUUAUUUGUGGCAGGUUGCUCAACUGUCUUUUCCUCAUGGAGGUUGAGUGCUUCAAGUUGCCACAAAUUUCUGUGUAGAUUUGCUACUGUACAUGCAGAUAUUAUCAUAUCAGAAUCGGACUCCUUUUAGUCCCAAGAAAGAUAAAGAGGAUGUCUGAAAAUAUAGCUAAAACCCAUGUGAUAUGGGCUGGCAUUCAUCAUUUGCAAUCUAAAUUUAAUAUUUGGAAUCGAACUCUUCUGUCACUCCAGCUUUUGUCCUGUUGAUUCUGUCAACAAUGCUUUGUCAGUAGUGAUAUGAAUGAUACAAAAUCCCUACAUGUGUCCAUUCCUUAGCAAACACCAUAAAAAAGAAAAGAUGUAGGUUGGAAGUUGGAAAUGAGUCAUGAGAGAGAGAGAGAGAGAGAGAGAGAGAGAGAGAGAGAGAGGUGCUUAACCCUAGCAUAAAGCAAGUCUGCUACUAUACUGUUUCACUUUGCCUUCUAUCAGCAGGAAGAAAGAGCAUAUCAAAUGAGUAUAAUCAUAUUUUUGAUGUAGUUAGUCCAACAGUAAUUACUUUCUUUAAGAUCAACUUUCUCAAUUUUUCUAUCUGAUGACUGUUACUCCAUAAUUCUUUGGACACCAGGCUUUCUUUCUCUAGCUUGAAUAUUUUGGAAUUUACCGAACCCCAAUCUCAAUCUCAAUCUCAUGAUUUUUACAGACCUCAAUGACUGUAAAAAGUAAAAGAUUUAUAUAAUCAAUCUCAAAGAGAUGGAAAAGACUUUAUUGUUGUUUAUUUGUUGUUGUUACUGAACCCCAAUCCCAAUCUUGAUUUCAUGUGUAAAAUUUCACGUUUAUUCAUCAAGUAUCUCAAAUGCUCGUGCGCAUUCAUAAUAAUCAAAAGCUGUUACCAUUUCUUCCUAUGCACAAUAUAGUAGUUUAGAGUAUUCCCGAUCAAAUGAAUGAAGAAGAAUGAAUGAAGAAUAAAAAUCCAAUCUGGUAUUCAGAGUUCUUUAAUAUGCCCAAUCAUAGUUUCAAUCCAAAGGAGAAGAGAACAGCAGCAAGCUUUGCAUGUACUGCCACAUCCAGGAUGGAUUUGUUUCGAGGACUGUUUCGAUUUGGAUAUGAAAUUGCGGAUACUCUAUUUUCUAUUUCCUAACAAAAAAGAGUUAAACCUUGCUUGCUAUAACAGAAUUAUACAACCAUCUGCCUCCCUGGUUGACUGGCUUUGUGAAAGCUGAAGCAUUCUGGACAAAUCCAGAAUCAGAUAAAAGCUUCACGCAAGUGCGUAGGUAGCUUUAGAUCAGGCUCGAAUUCACCAAGAGGUGAGAAAUAAUGAUCGACCAUGUCUUCUGAUACUUUUUCCAGAACUGGAGGAUCCCACUGCAUGGUUCAUGAAUGAAAACACUUCAUAAAAUAAUGAAAAUUUUGAACCAUUUUAAAUUGUUGCUAUAGAUUACCUUAGGAGCCAAGUCUUUAUCGACUAAUCGUGCUCGAACACCCUGUAGAACCAGGAGAAAGAGGUUAGGAAAUUUACGGAACAAACUAAAACCUUUCUAGUUGAUCAAUGGUUCAAGUACCUCGCAGAAGUCAUUGGAAACCAAUUUUGAGAUCCCAUGAAGCGACAUUCGAUACUCGCGAACAAGACAUUCAUCGAAUGUCUGACAUCUUCCUUCUCGGAUCUAUUUAAGUUUUCUGAGGAAACAUCAGCGGAUAAUUACCAAGAGCAUGGUAUUCAGCAAGAGGGUUCUAACAACUUACAGAUCGCAGGGAAACCUUUAAACUCAAUGGAGAAGCUUCUUUUAGUUUCUUUAAUGCAGAAAUACACCAAUCUUGCUUUGAUCUGGCUGCCUCAGUUUCCUGUGUGUGAUAAAGAACAUGUAAAUGAACGCAUUAUUGAAUAAGACCAAAAAUAUGUGUUCUUUCUACAGUGGGCUGCAAGAAGACUGUUGCAUUCUCUUUUUUUUUUUAGGUCCACCUCAUUCUCAUUUCAGCAUGGUUGAAAUGCAUGAAUAACUAAUAGACAAAAAUAGUAGAGAUUUAGUUUAUCUUCUAACUCUGAUGGUUAAGUUGGAAAAACUUGAUGCUUGUAGCUGACUAUUCUUAAUCCCAAGAAAAGGGUUCACCCUGGUAAAAAUUAACAAAAAAAGAAUCGUUGCCUACUCUUUGCUCAAAUGACUCACAGGUUGUGGAUGUCUUAAUCCUGACCCUUUUUUUUCUUUUUUUACAAUUUAUGGUGAAAUAGAGGGAAAAAAUGCUGUCUGAAUUAUUAAUUGUUUGAAACUGCAACCUGGAGUAAGGCCUCAUGUUGUCACUCAAAUGUACAAAGUGAUCCAAACAAAAACGAAAAAGAACUAUAUUUCAUGUCAAAGCUGUUAAAGAAAUAAAAACCAUAACAAUGCCACAAAUUAUGAUCAAAAAGAUUCUAGCAAUGACUUCAUGAUAAAAAUAAAGAUUAUACUUUGGAACUUAAAAAAAAUGAAGGACAAGAAUGCAUCCUCAUAAAAGCAAAUAGUGAUUUAGCAAUCUUGCUAGUGAAACAAAAUUGUGACCUAAGACCUUUACUUUUCCCUCCAGUUCUCACUAAUAAAUGAAACCAUGGUGUCAUAUGUGCAGCCACAGUAAUACAUGUACAAAUUAAUCUGACAAGAGUUGUAGAGAUCAAUGGACCAAGGGGGCUCACCAAAGCAUCCAAGAUUUCCUCAACAGUUUCAUGGCCAAAACAUUUAUCUAUGGCCUCCAGCCUGAACAAGGAACCAAAAUACUCUUCAUAAAAGAUGCAGCUACUUGUACAUUUUCAGUCAUUUAUAUAUAAAAUAGGCAAAAAAGAAAAAACAUCACAGUAGAUAUUACUAUGUCGUAUAAAAAAGAAUGACUAGUACAGCAAUCAUCACAAUCAGCAAAACAACAUAACAUUCUUUUGCAAAAACUAUGGCAAAAUAAAAUGGUUUAUACAUUAUACAUCUCUUCUUUGUGUGGAUACAUUUUGCAUGACAAACUAUGUUAUAGCAGCAGUGAAAUGUAUCAUGUACUUCAGAUAUGCAAGAAGCUUGUAAUCAGCAACAUCAUUAAUGUUGCUUUCUGAUAGAUGUUUUGAGUGAGGAACACAACGUAUAUAUCACUACUGGAGCUUGUAUCAUCUAAAUAUUAUGACUUUGAAGAGAUUAAAAGCAUGAGAAUACCUAUGAACAAUGCUAUUCUUAUCUGGAUAGACAAUAUCACCAUAUUGUGCAAGUGUUGAAUCAAUUUCUGAAGGAUCAUCAGUCAUCAACUUAGCAAGCCGUUCAUCAACCCAAUCAAGCCUCUAUUAGUCAAUAAAGAGGUGACAAAAGUAAGAAAACUGAAAUGAGAACAGAGAGAAAUUUCCAAAAAUGGAGUAAGGGAACAAACAUCACUCAUCGAAUAGUUUGUAGCAAGGCCAACUGCAAGCAUAUCUACCCCAUUGAGCUUCUCACCUGUUAGGGCCAAGUAUUCCCCUACAGCAAGAUCAUAAGAAGUAUUCUGCUCAAACAAAGAAUAAAAUGCACUGCUAUGAAAAUAAUUGGUCAAGAUAACCACAGAUUGAUGUGAUAGAAGUGAAAAAACCAACAAAAGCAAUACUGCAGAAUGAAAACUUGGAUCAUCAUUUGAUUGUCCAAUAUAUCCUUAUCAGAAAAACUAUGGAUAUUUCCAAUAAAGUUAACUCAGAUUCUUCUAUUACAUUUGAAGAAACCCAUAUGGCAUCUUAAAACUCACAAACUCAAAACCAUGGGCUGCCAUUUCGCCCAGACAGGUAAGAAACAAGCUGUAUGUUCUGGUCCAAGCGAGCGUGAACUGGUAUGUGCAUAAUCCUUGUUUCGGGUAGUCCGCUCCAACCAUUAAAAAAAAUUGAUUUAAGACUUUUAGAUGGCCUGAAUGUGAACCAUCCACGCGUUUCACCUUCUGCUGUCUGACGCGUACGCUUCCUCAUCUUCCCCUCUUCCUUUUCCUCGUCCUCCUUCCUCGUCUCCUUCCUCCUCCUUACUCUUCCUUCCUCCUCUUCCCCUACCGCCUCCUCUUCUUUCUUCCUCUUUCUUCCUCCACUGCCUCCUCUCUGUUCUUCCUUUUCCUUCCUACUCAUUCAUCCUUCUUCUUCCUCCUCUUCCUCCAUCGCCCCUUCCUUUCUCCUCCUUCCUCUUUGACUCACCUCUAUUGUAUAUAAUUGUCAGAACACCAGUACCAAUAGGCAUGUACCUGAACCAUGUCACUGAUACAGGUCCAAUACCCGAAAUAGUGAUCUAUGCUCAAAAUAUACUAGAUACACAAUACUGGUUCACAUAGAAAUGAUAGAACCACUAGUAACAUCAGAUAUGAGCAGCGGAUGGGUGAUUGCAGCAAAUGAAUUGACAUAUUAAAGAUUUGACAUGCGCCAGGAAUGCAACUCCAUAAAAACAACUGUACCUAGAUGACCAUUUAGAUUUGACAGGUAAAAAGAAGCCCCAGCAUCAGGAUGGAAACCUAUAUGAACUUCUGGCGUCGCAAAGAUCUGAAAUUGUUCAAACAAGCUGAAGAUCAUUAAAUAUAAUAUAUUACUUAACAAGUGAGCUCAACUAAAACUGAUGUUACUAGAACAGAGGAGAUCUAGGUACAGGUUGUUCUCAUCUAAAAGAUCAAAUUGCUAAAACAAUUCAAUUGCACAUUAGAUACAUCUUAAAAGAUUUCAAGAAAGAUACAUGUGCAUUCAAUGAUCCUUAAAAACAAUAGCACAUAGAACAAUGAGAAGGAAAAAAAGAUGCACAUAAUUAAUUUAAAAUCGUCCUUGAAAAUAGUUUUCUGUACAACUUUAUAUGCAGCAAGUUCAAGACAAAAAAACAAUGACAGGUAUACAAGAAAAGACAUUUUAUAAAGUUCUUGGGAUAAAGCUCAUGAAGCUAGUCUUUCAUUAUUUCACUAUAAGAAAAGGAAUAUGAUAAAAUAAUAUUGAAAAAAUGCUCAGAAAUAGGAACAUAUAUGUAUUGGUGGCCAUACAAAGAAACAUAAAUUAACUUUUAGAAAACCAUAAAACUCCAGUUUGCACAUUCCAUAAGUUGACAUUUACGAGAAGUAUGUUAAUGUGUGCAUAUAAGGAACUUUUUUGGUGCAUAAUGCAUGAAAAAUUGUUUUGCAACAGUCACAGAUAUAAAGCCAAUAUUACAGAAUUCCUUGAACAAACUUAGCGUUCAGACCACCAAGUUCACCUGAUCAACUAGCUUACAAGACUAAACAACUGUAAUAACCAAUAAUUUAUACUAGUAGAAAGUCUAAAGCUCAUCACUGUAUAAAUAUGAAACUCAUACGGUCUUAUCCGUUGCAAUACGAAAUGUCCCAGGAAUAGAGACUCCUGCUCCACCACCCAUGGUAAUACCAUCCAGGAUAGCCACCUGCACGAGAUAAUUAAGGUGCAACUUAUUAGAACAAGUGCUGAAGGAGAAAGGGCUCAAUUUGGAAAAGUAUGACAACAAUGCUAUGAAGUAUGAACUAUAUACAAAGUGGAGAAAAUAGAGUAGAGAGAUCAGUAUGUUACUAAGAGAGUGAAUUUUAAAGCUUCUGUACUCACAUGUGGCUUCAAAUAUGUACCUACGACGUAAAUGAACAUGUACAAGUUCCUGAAGAAGUCCUUGCAAUUUUCUACCUUACCUGCAUGAGAAAAGUAAAAGAACAUUAGUUUCAGCCAAAAGUAUGAUCAACUGUUAAAUUACAACAACAACAACAACCACUUAUGUCCCAUGUCUCAUUGUCUAUGUAACAGAAGAAUCAGAAACAUGAAGGAAUUUUGACUUCACCUACCAUGGAGGAGUUCUGAUUUUCCCAAUUGGUUAAGGAUAAACUUAAUUUCGAGUGACAUCAGAAGGUAGAGCAUUUUCAAGAUAGACAUAUUAUAAUAAGCCAAGUCCAUUCCAGUUAGCUUGAUUUUCCAGUUUAAAGUUUAAACUAUGGAUCAAUUGCAGCAAUUUCCAGAUAAUGUCCUACAUCCAGCAUUCUACAGCAAAUCAAUCGACCUACUUGUUUUUUAGGUCUGGGCUGAUUGUUGCUCUCCUGAGCAUCAACCAAUACAUGGGCUCCCUACAAGAACCAAUUAAUCAAUUUUCACUGCCUAAGCUACUCCUCAUAUUGUAAGACAAGCCUCUGAUAGAAAGAUCAUUGAUUAAUAAAUAUUCUGAUAGUUACUAAUCCAUGAACAAGACAUUUAACUGAAGUAGCAACCAUAAUAUCUGGCAGACAUUUCAGAAAAGGAUUAACGAAAAAAAUAAGAACAUGAUCCUAUACCUUCUAUUUUUCCUACUAAAUAAUCUCCUUCGUAUUUCCUAUUUGUUCAUCCUCCCUUUUUGUCUAAAAUAAAAACAUCACAAAGAUGUAGAGACUAGAAAACGUGGAUUUAUUUUUCUUCCCUAUCAAGCAAGGUAUGCAAUUUCGUACCGUACCGGAGUUUCGACGUUCACUCGGUACGGUACGAAACCGUAUACCGAGCAGUAUACCGUUCGAUAUACCGCUCGGUAUAUAUAUAAAUAUAAAUAAAUAAAUAUAUAUAUAUAUAUUUAUAAAAGACGGCGUCACGUCGCCUCGACGACGUCGCCGAACAAGGCGACGCAACGUCGCCUUUUAUAAAAUAUUUAUAUAUUAAUAUAUAUAUAUAUAUAUAUAUAUAUAUAUAUAUAUAUAUAUAUAUAUUUAUUUAUUUAUUUAUUUAUUUGUACCGGUAAACUGACGGACCAGUACGUACCACACGUACCGGACAGUAUUAUUCAAAAUUACAGUUGAUUGUGUUGCAUAGCUGAAAUGAUAAACUUCUUUUCCUUUUUAUUUAAUGUCGACUUUUGCCAUAGAGACCAACAUCUACACAAGUAAACCAAGUCAUAAUUCGGAAUUAAUAUAUCGUAAACCUUGUAACAUCACACAAAGAACACUAUACCUUCAUUAAGCAACCGAUAAAGUGUGACAACAUCCCCCCCAGCACAAAACGCCUUGCCGCUGCCCUUCGGAAGAUCACAAUCACAUUUAAGUUUCCUUACCGGUGAUUGAUGAAUACAUGUAUUACGCAAAGAAAAUCCACAAUACUACUAAUAAAACAAUUCGCCACUCUAAAUAAGCAAAGAGCUAACCUUCAUCAGGACAAACCCAAUAUCAGGAUUAUCCUCCCAAGAUUCAUAGAGUUUCUUCAACCGAAUCCCCUAAAAAGACCACAAUGCCUAGCCUCAUUUUCGGUCAAGCAAAAUCUCGAACACCAAAACUGCAUCAGGAAAGCAUACCAUGCUGGUGGUCAGAGCAUUGAGAGCAGAGGGCCGGUUGAGGAUUGCGGUACGGGCAGCCGCCUUGCCCUCUACGAGCACCUGAAAAUUCAACAAUAAGCAGCGAGAAACGAAAGGCAAUAAUCGGGAGUGAGAUCGCAGGGAUCAGGAUCGACGGGAGGCUGACCUCGUCCUGGAGUUCGUGGUCAUGGGCGGACGAGGGGCGCGUCGUAGAGAGAGCGCGGCGGAGAGACGGGAUGGACCGCCGGGCAGACGCGAGGGCUCUGAACCUUUGCAUCUCCGCUGGCCGCCGUCCGUCCGUAGAGUAGGGUUUUCGAAGACGACGGGAGGUAAUGAAACUUAAGUUACGGCGAAUAUAACGGAAAACUCCGAAUCCGUUAUAAUCAAUCAUUUAUCCCAUUUUUUAUUAGGAUAUAAUUCAGCCUAAAUUUUUAUUGAACUUUAAGACCAAAAUAUUUGGAAAUUAAUUUAAUAAAAGAAUACCUAUAUUGAAAACAUAAGAAACAUCAAAGAUUUGACUGCAAUGACAAAUUCAAUUAGAAAAUUCUCUUUUCACCAAAAGAAAAAGUAUGAUAAGAUUAUUUGAGAAAUUAUNNNNNNNNNNNNNNNNNNNNUAUAUAUAUAUAUAUAUAUAUAUAUAUAUAUAUAUAUAUAUAUAUAUAUAUAUAUAUAUAUAUAUAUAUAUAUAUAUAUAUAUAUAUAUAUAUAUACACACACACACACACCUUGCAAAAUCUAUUUUUAAUUGACAUUUUCAUUUAUCAUUGACAACCCUUAAAAUAGUUAUUAUGAAAUAGUAAUAUUAAAAUUUUUAUAGUUUAUAUCAGAAAAGAGAUAGUAUUAUUUAUAAUCAUGAGUGGUUGAUCCGAAUUAUUUUGAUGAUGGAUAGAUAUAUAUAUAUAUAUAUUGAUAUAUAUAUAUAUAUAUUAUAUCUAGUGCUCGUGUCUCAUACAUUUUGAACUAUAAAUAAUAUAUAAAUAAUAUAAAUAAUAUAUAUGUAUAUAUAUAUAUAUUAUCUUUACUUAAUGAUAUAAUUUAUUAUAUCUAUGCUUCAUAAAUAUGAUAAAUAAUAUGCUCAUAUUUUUUAAGAUUGAAGUAUAUGCUUUCCACAAAUAUCAUUCUUAGUUUUCUUUUAAAUAUUGAUUGGGUAUGCAUAAAUAUUAAUGUUUACAUUAAACAUUAUGCAACAAAUCAUUAAUGGACUUGAAUAUUAAGUUAAGUUACGGUAAUAAACAUACAGAUGAUGAUUAGAAAUGAUGGUUAAAUUUUAAUCAACCUUAAGUGAAUCUAAGGCUUGAAUGAGUUUGACCAUAAUUAAGUUUAAGUUUUAAACAUUAUAUAUAUAGAGAAUCAUAACCUAAUGCAUGAAGUAAUGAAAAAUUAAAUAGAGAUAUAAAUCAAAGAGAAGUGUUAUACUAAGUAUUGAGAUAAAUAAGUGAGAUUGAAGUAUGAGGUUAGACCAAAAAAAUAUCAAUCUUUAUCAAGUCAAAUUAAACUUAAUUAAAGUUGCUGGAACAUUAGAAUUAUAUUAGUAAAAGAAGAAAAAAAACUUUAAAUAAGGCCUAAUAAGACUAAAUCCUAAACCUCAAAGUAGUAAACACAUUAAUCUUAUUUUAAUCUUAUCCUCUUUAUCAACCUGAUAACCACUAUUUUUCUCAUUCUUCAUCCAUUCUCUUAGCUUUUCUAGGGGGGCUAGAAAACCUCUAACACUAAUAAAUGAGAUAAGAAAAACUCAAUUCUUUCCUUGCUAUAGAUUUUAGUUUUACAUAUUAUAAGUUGAUAUUUUUAGCUAUUUUUGAGUAACUUAGACUUUGAAUUAAUAUUUACUUUUUGAAUAUAUUUUAUAUGAUUCUCUUAUUAUUCUAAAGGAUAUGGUAUGAUCUUACUGUAAGAUUGGUAUAUAGAGUUAUGAUUGUCCUAAUUUGAGAUACAUAGAAUCUCUUAUUUUUUCAAAAAGAAUUAUAUUCGAGCUAAAUUAGCUCCCUUAGGGAAAUGAUUAUACUCUAUCAUUUUGAUAUGUUUCAAAAUAUUUUUUUAGAGUUAUGUGAGAUUUUAAAUUGAGUGAAUGCCACGUCUAUACACUAAGAUAUGAUAUUUAUAAGUUUAAAUAAUCCCAACCAAGUUUCAGUAGAACAAAAUAGGUGUUAUAGUUAAAUUAAGAGAUAGUUUAACCUCCAAAUGAUUUGAUUUUAAGUUAAAAUUUAGUGUGUAUUUAGUUUUAUAUGUCAUGUAGUCUUUUACAAAAUUUCAUUAUAGUUCAAUAUCGUUUGGUUAGCCAGAAUAGUAAAGCAAUUUUUUUUUUAUGAAAUUAUGCUAUGAUUUGAUUAAUACUAACUAGUUCAAAGUGAAUUGUUAGAAAUUUCAUAGUGAAAUUUAGAUAAAUUUUCAGGUUGAGUAUGGUCUAUUUUAUAUAAGAUUAUAUCAAACUUUUUUUUAUGAAUUAUUAUUAUAAAUUAAUAAUUCAAGAUAUAUGGUUCUUAAUUAAGAUAUCUUAUCAUCUUAUGCUUCCAAUUUGAUAUAUGUAUUGCUCCCUAGCAUACUCAAUCAUUAAAGAACAUGGUCUUUCAUUUGUAUCUUUAUUUUUUAGUUCAAUUAGAAAAAUAUAAGUUUAAUUCGUUAUAAAAUAGUAAUAAUAUAAAUUAUCGUAUGUAUAAUAUUUUUUGGAAAACAUGUUUCGAGUAAUAUCAUCGUUAUAAAGCUAAAUGUGAAUGUAUAUAUUUUGUAAGCAUAAUUAUAUAUGAAUUGUAAUAAAAAUAUAUUGCGUGCAUGUAUAUAACGAACAGUGUGAGAGAAUAUGUGUUUUCUAUGAUGUGCAGUGUGAUAGUAUACAGAUAUAUUAUGACAUUUAGUAUAGAAAUUUACAUAUAUAUUAUGACGUGCGGUAUAGAAGUGUACGUAUAUAUUAUAACAUACGGUAUGAGAAUUCGCAUAUGUAUUACGAUAACGUACAGUAUGAGAAUGCAUGUAUAUAUUAUGAUUUGGGGUAUAAAAGUUCAUGAAAUUGUUAUAUUUCCUAUAUGUGCAUAUAAGUAUUUGAAUUAUUUCGACAUAAAAUUUUAUCUUUAGAUACUAUGUUAUAGGGUUAUGCUUGCUAAAGAAGCCAUAGGAUGAGAUGUUUAUCAUCAAAUAUCUUAUGCAUAUAAUUUUAAAAUGAUGUAUACAUGACAUGAUGUAUGUUCACCUGAAUAAAAACGUAUGCUUAGUGAGUAAUUAUUCACUAUAAAUCAUAUUUUAUAAAUAAGGAUAUUAGUAUCCUACCCAAGUAAUUGGGUAGAGAAGUGAGGAUAUGCAAGCCUAUGCUAACGUAGUUAUGGACGAUAAUCUAUGGACAUUUUAUGUAUAUAACUUUUGGAUGUAUUAUGUUUAUAUUUUUCUUUUGGUUAGAGUCUAAAUACUGUAUAUAGAAGAAACCUUACAAUUUUGUUUAAUAUGUUAGCAUAUUUUAAUUUUAAGAUUAUAUACUUUUCAUUGCACUCCUAUAAUAAAAAUUUAAAAUGUGAUAUCAUGUUUUAGAGUAUGGAUGUAAUUUGAUACCUUGUGACUAAUAGUCUAAUACCAUGUAUUGUUAUUCUUUAUAUGAUAUAAGUCACAUUUAUGAUCAUUUCUUUAAGAUUCUCGAACUCUAACACAUUUAAUUUUAUUUAAUUUUAAAGGAUUCUACACUUAUUAUCGCUCUAUAAUAAAAAACUAACUUAAGUAUCGAAGGAAGUUUAUUGAAUGCACUCUUAAUAUAGUUUUGUAUAGUUCAAUGCUUUAUAAUUAGAGAGGAUUCGACUAUUCUCAAUAUUAGAGAGAAGCAUGGAAUAAGAUCUCGAUUAAAAUUGAUAUGAAUAUGUUAAAAAUCAUUUAUUAUUUAUAAUCACGAGUGAUUUUCUUUAAUUUUUUGAUGGAUAAAUAGUGACAAGAGAGGCAUAUCGGUCGCAAUAUUUAGAGAAAUAUUUUAUAUUGUUUCAAUAGUAUAUAUACAAAUGUUUAAAAAUAAUGACUGAUUUAUCCCAAAAAAAUUUACUUUAUAAGCUUUUUACGUGGGCACUCCACUCUUAGAAUAUUAUUCUUUUUAAGAAUAUUAUUUUAUGUCUACUUGAUGUAGAAUUCAUUUUUAUUGUUGAAAUGAAACAGUUAAAAAUGAAUUGAAUUUGUGAUUGGAAUUGGAAAACGAAUAUAUUUUUAACAUGGGCUCUUAGUAGACCCAAAAUUAAUAUGGAAACUUCACUACGAAUCACUUAUUAUAUUACAAUACCUUAACAUAUCUAUAUAUUUCCUACAAACAUACAUGUAAACUCGAUUUCCUUAUUUUUCCCUCCUUUAUACAUUAGUUUUCUUGGUCGUCGUCAUUAAUCCACACUUAGACAUCCAAGAAACCGGGCCUCUUCAACCAUCAAGCUCCGAAGCAACCUGCGAAGUGGGGAAGAUGGUGGUGGUGAUGGUGAUGGUGAUGGUGAUGGUGAUGGUUGUGGUGGUGGUGAUGGUGGCCAGCGCCGCCGCCUAUCUCGCGGUCGAUGGCGUCCUGAACGUGGCGGAAGUGCUCAAUGCCGCAGGGGAUGGCGAUGGGCCCCGCCUGGUUGAAUCCGUACUCCGCCGCCGCCUCGUCCAGAAGCUCCGCGAAGAGCGGGUGGCUGAGGUGCGCCACCGGCACCACGAACCGCUGCUGCUCCUCGCCUUCCGGUCCCACCCGGACCGCCAUGCACCCCCUGGGCGGCGCCCCCGCCUCGGUCGCCGCCUUCUCCUUCCUCUCGUGGUGGUGGGCCAUGCCAAGCUGCAGAAAGCUCAUCGAUCGACGGUGGUCUGCUUGGUGGUGGCAACUGUUCCCCUUCCUCUUCUCUUCUUCUCCUCCUCCUGCUUCAAUCCUCGUACAAAGAAAGAGAGAGAGCGUUUUCUUCUGAUCCAAGGAUUAAGUAGGCAACUAUCGAUCCAAAUCUAAAUCGAGCAGGCUUAGGACGGUAAUGGACGGACAUAUAUAUAGGAGGAGAGAGGCGGUGUGGCUUUUUGUGCGGUUUUGGCGUUGAGGAACGCUUUCCUUACCGGCUAAUCAAGUCGACGCUCGUUUCUUCUACGACUUCUCUGUCUUCUCCGAUCUGAUCGCCGCGCGUCUCCUCUCACAGCCCGACGCAUCUCCAUCUUCUUCUUGGUUGACCAAAGACUUGAGAUCAUUGACUGACCACCCAGUCGCGUACUCGCGUGCCGACUCGUGACGGCCACGGGACCCACGCGGAACACGAUGGAGAUAGCAUGUGCAGCUCGUGUGGUAGGGUCGCUGAGUACCGGUCCAACACGUUUGGUUUUGACGGUCGCGGGACCCACUCGGAAGGUAGAACGGAUCGGCCGACGACGUGAAUAACGUGUGGUAAUAUACUCGAACUUAAAUCGUUAAUACUUCUUCAAACCUGCUAAUAAUAAUGACUAAUAGUGAUUAAUCAGAAUUUAUUGGACGGAUUAUAACGGGUAUAGAUAUGUCGUCAUCAUUACAUCGAUACAUAGUGAUGGGCAUAAAUGUAAUUGCACGAACAAUUUAGACGAACACACAGUUCACAUGGGAAUGCAUCUUCUGACGUCCUCAGGCACCCACCUCGACUUCAAGCUUCUUCUUCUCCUCCUGCCCCUCCGCCUCGUCGACGAAGGCCGAGAUGGGGAACGACCUCCCGAUCCCCACCGCCGACUUGAAGUAUAUCUUCGCGGCAUCGGCGUCGGUGAUGCUCAUCUCAGUGAUGGGCACCCACAGCAGCACCUGCUUGCUCCUCACCCCCGUCAUCUUCUUCAUCUUCUUCAUCUCCACGUACGCCGUCACCACCCUGUCGUACCUCACCCGAGUGUUGGUUCCGGUGAAGAAGUGCUCGUACGGCUCCUUCUGCUUCAUCCACACGAAGCCCGUCGCCUGCACCCACCCGCACUCUUCGAGGUUCCUCAGCGGGAGGACUCCUUUCGGGAAGCCGACCGCCUCCAGCAUCUUUACGGAGUGGCUGUAGCAUUCUUCCGCGCCGUAGAUGAUCUCGGCGCCUUCCCUGUCCUCGUUGCUGAUGACGAGGGAGCCCAUGGCUAAUGCAAGUUUUGGGAUGCAAGCCUUGUCUUAGAGAGCUGUCAUUUAUACAAGCAGUUUGCGAGCAAGGGAAGGUGGAAGGUGGGGAAGUUGAGCUAAUAGGAACAGUUAGGUCAUCUAAGAUGUGUCAAGGUGGGUAAAAGGAAGUAGAGAUCGCCACCUAAUUUAUAUUCAUCUAACAAAUAGACUAUGAUUUCCAUGAACUUGUUUGGUAAUUACUUGGAAUAUUAGGAAGUCAUCAAGAACCCUUUUAACAUAUCCUUCCACGUUCAUCGAUUUGCUCAUAUGUUGAAGCUGCACAAGAACAAAGCAAGUAAUUGAAUUGGCAACUUCAUUAGUUCAUCAUUGGCAACCAGCCAACAGAGGAUGGUGUUUGAGGACUGCUGGAUCUAUGAAGAUGAGCAAACCUAAAAUCUUGCGAGUACUUGACAAGGUCACAAGGAUUGGUAUCAGCAGAUGUCUCAAGACAGCAUUACUUUGAGUGACUGCAGAGACUGCAUGUAAGCUAUGAAAUACUAACUUCUUUUACAAGUUGAUGCAUCUAAUGAAUCUUUACAACCAUAAUAUAAGACUAAAAAUUCCCAGAAAUCAUAUUUGGGAAGCAGCAAAGGGGUGCUCAAUAACAUUCUCAAGAGCAUUAGUCAAAUUCUUGGGUUAAAUAUGAUGGCUACAAAAAAAGGAAGGUUUCCCAGCAACAUAGCAUGAGUAAGAAUAAAACUUCCAGCCAGAAAUCACAUGAUAGCCAGUAAAUCUGAGAUUUCAAACAACAGCCAUGCAGCAGUACACAAUCAAGCACCAAAAAAUUGUCAAUGGACUAUCAGCAGCUUUGGCAGAUAUCUCACCAACACAAGAAAAUCACAUUUCCAUCAGAAAGAACCAAGUUGAUGCAAAUUUUAACCAACAAGCGUGAGAAGGAAAUCACUGCAUCACAGUAAGUAGCAAUACAUCAUAGUUCAAUAAUUUCCAAGUCUUUAAAUUGACUAAUGUAGCGAAUUUUGUAGAGGACGAAUAAUUAUGACAGAAUGCUUAAUCUGCUUUGGUGAAGUGCCGGACAGCAAAGGCUAAGCCCAAAAUCAUUAUGGGCACAAGGAACUGCAAAAUUCUGAUUACAAACUCUGAAGUUUUAUCUGGAUUGUAGGAUGCUUGCUGAGGUGGUAUGUAGGUGCGCGUUGUUGGAACUGUUGAAAGAUCUACCUGCCCAAUGUAGUACUUGGCCAUCAUAUCCCUGGCAGAAUUACUAUGACCUAUAUCCUCGAAAUCAUUGGUGGCAUCUUUUCCUGCAGAGAGAUUCAGAAGAGAAUUUUACUAUACUUUGUAAACAUAAAAGAACAUAAACUUCUGAAUUUUGACUGGUCUGAUUAUGAUUCCUUUCGAGUAAAGCAGAGAAAGCAUCCAACAAAAAUCGUAAUCACAAGGGGCAGCAAGUUACAAUACAAGGCAAGGGUCAAAAAGAAAAGGAAAAAGAUUGAAUUCUUACCGGUUACUGCUAGCAAAACCUCAUCGCCACCAGGAUGCUCAUCCAAAAAUGGGGUGACAUCAUAAACCUGAAACGAUCAAUCAUUCACUGGCAUUAGUCAGCAGUGAAAGAAAAUGUGGUGAACAUGUUUAGUGACAGCAAUAUGUGUUAAGCAUGAGCACACAGGAUUUUCACAUAGAACCUCUUCGAUGAGUAAUAAAGCUAGAAGAUAGCAUAGAUUAUCAAACCAAGUAUUACAGCUGAUUCAGAAAUUAAGUCAAUAACACCCAGCUAAGUGCACAGGAUCCUAGUCCAAAAAGUAUUGGCAGUUUAACGACUAUUUAAAUUCUGGAAUUGGUUGUGAUAUUUGAAUGUGCCUAAACAUAUCAUCCUUUGAUCACAAGGGAUGCCUUAAAUGGCUAAAUAUUUAUUUAAAGAAUAAAAAGGAGAAGGAAGAGGUUAAGGAUACAUAUCAUUACCAUUAUUCCAUAAUUUUUAUAGUUUCUGAAGCCAGCCAGCUAGCUCGUGCAUUACAGGUUUCACUAAUACGAGACCAAUUAAACUUAUGCCUAAAUCUAUCAGGUUCAGGUUUUCAUUUAUGUUAUAUGCUAUAAGGAUACAAUUCGAGAUAACCCUUCAACCCAUAUGAUACAUGCUUCCCUCAAAAAAAUUGGUAAAGAAAUAACAUCAUUUAGAAUGAAAUCUAGACAAUCAUAAACAAUCACAAUUAAUUGAUUAGAACUGCUAAAUGCGAAUAACUGUUGAAAGCUAUACGAUUUACUAAGCCAUAAAAAAGUAACUCCAGAAAGUCUAGCUGUAGAGAAUAUUUGGUAGGACUAUGUUACCAGAGAUUAUUAACAUGCUAUAAAAUAAACCUGAAAAGAAUUAGAAACUUGGAAAGAUCAUAUGGGUGCACAACACAUUUGGUUGGAGGAAUAUCUGGCCAGAGACUAAUGAAGUCUUAGUCAAGAGUGCAUCUUGCCUACUUCUAGUCUCUUGCAAAUUGAAGGGUCUUAAUUGAAGCCAAGGCUACUCAUGAUUAAACUGACUACCAUAUAUGUAUCUUUUUUUCACAAAGGAAGUGGUUGGUUUUGCCAUCAAAACCCUUAAUAGUUUAUAGCAUGGGAAGAUCCUUUAAUAUUUGACUUAAAAGGGAUCAUUUAUUAUAAACCCAUAUAAAAUCAGGAACUAACAUCCUUUGCCUAUUGUUCUAUAUGCAGUUGGGUGUAACGUGAGGCCUUCAUAUCAAAAUCAAAUCUUUUGCUAAGUGCCCCAGAUUCAUACUGGUGAAUAAUUAAUAUUAACGGCAGCAAAGGUUACUGCGAACAUUCCAAACCCUAUUUGGGUGUCACGCAGCAUAAUCUUUAUUAGCUAAUAGGCAAAUCAUGUGUUCUUUCUACAACCAACUCUCCAAGAAUCAACAAUCCGAACCCUGUGAAAUAAAGAACUCUUUUUCCCACCAAAAUUUCCCCUUUCUCACAGAUCUCAACUGAGCGACCUUCAAAAUAAAGAGUACUUAAUAGUUCUUGCCAGAAAUUUCUAACGCUGACAAAUCCAUCAAAAUCAACUAAUCGAACACACACACACACAGAAUUGGUAGAAGAAAAAGGUAGGACCUUUCCGGAGAUGAUGAGCCAACAGUCUUUGGCGACGUUAUGCUUGGAGACCUCAUCGAAGCGAUACACCUUGGAAUCGGCCAUUUCCUUGAUGCAAAUCUGCAAAGCAAGGAACGAAUUGCAGGUCACAAACCAUGCAAAAGAGGAUUAAUAGAGCGACAGAGAGCUGGAAAGCCUCUCACCUACUCCCAGGCUGUAGUCCGCUAUGGCUGCUGCGGCUGCGCUGUGAACUCCGCCAUCUCCACGGAGUCGAUUUAUCAUCGCCAAAUGACGUAUAUGUCAUCAUCCUUCUCGCAAAUUACGGAAAUAUCCAUCAGUCGGCACUUCGAAGGGCAAAACCUUUCCUAUUUAUUGACUCGUUACCCGCGAGUUACCUGCUUUCUAAAUGGCGGUUGGGUCCGAUCGACCAUACGGGGUCCACAUAAUUCAAUUUAUAGUCACUAAUGCAGGUAGACAUUGGGUUCAAUUCUUUUUGAAUUUGCUGUAGCUUACUAUUCAUCUAUUUUUUUUUACAAUUGAUAAUACUAUCCAUAGUCCUUUUUUUCACUAGUAAUUUAUUAUUAUUAUUAUUGAUAAUUUAAAAAAUAAUAAAAUAUAUAUUUUUUAUUUAUAAUCUUAAUAUUAUCGAUUUAUUUUUUUUCUUAAUAAUCUCUUAUUUCAUCCUUUGUCAAUGUCGUUUUAGUUACCAUCGAUAUUACAAUAUUGCUCAUUUUUAAGAUCAAUUGUCAUCAUCAUCAUUUGUCGUGAAUGCUAUAUGACCUCCUCGACUACCAGGAGGAGGAUAUUUAUAAUAAAUAAUUUAAAAAUAUUUAUAUAAGAUUAUAAAUAAUUUUUUUAUUAAUUUAAAAUAAAAAAAUUAAAUUAUCCCAUUAUCUUAGGUAGAGAUAUCCCUACUUACAUUGACACUUCUCCGACCUCUUACUUACCUUCAAAAGCAUUGAAAUAGUUGGAGAUUAAAUCGUUUGAGUCCUAAUAUUAAAAUACAUUCAAUUCAAGAAUGAAGAAAUUUAUAAUAGUUAUUAUUCUAUUAUUUUUUACAUCGACAAUACAUUACGCUUAAAAAAAAUCAUUAGGCAUAUGGUUCAAUUAGUUCCUUCAUUAGUUCAAUCAAUAACUUAGUGAUCGAGACUUGACCGGAUAGAACAAUGAUAUAACUUUGUUUGGAACACUGUUAGGGGCAAUUUUCUUAUAUUUUCAUGACAACCUUCCAAUAAAAGAAACGAAGUGUUAUGUAUUAGGAAAUUGCAGCCAAAGAAAGAAAGUCAGAUUCCUCACGUCUAAUGCCGUAAUACACUCGCAAUUCGAUCAUAGCAGCCAUAUGACCGGUCCAAUUGUCAACAUUAUCAUUCUGCCAAAAUGAAGUUGAUGUGAGCAACCCAUAGUCAACUGUCUUGAGCAAAUAAGAAGGCUUUUUUGUCAACCUCAUCUUACGUUGACCCUUCACCUUCUUUUCCGCUCCAAGAAAGCAUUAUCUAUCAAGAUGCUAAGGAUCUCUAUGUACUUACUGAGGUCAUUACGGCAGAAGAGGAGACGGUACAUUCUUUCUCCACAAACAAACUUUUCAUUCUUUCUGGACCACGUAAGAUAUCCUUCAACAACUUGGUUGCCUUGCAAGUUACAUGCACUCUUUUCUGUGAUAGCAUCAACUCUUUCCCACUACAAUCUGCAUACAAGAGGAAAUGCCAAAGUUUUAGGACAUGUAGAAGGUGCACUGCGGCAUUUAUUUCAUACGAAAUCAACUUUCCUCAACAUUAAAAACUGUGUGUGCAUUAAUGGUUCACCACACAACUUGGUACUGCAAGAAGCCUUCUCUCACAUACUCGGGUGUGGUUGGCCAUUAAUUGUAUAAUUAUGCUGUUAAGCAAAGGAAACAUCAGAGAUUUGACACUCACUUUCCCGGAAGGAGUUCCUCAAGGAGGUAAAAUCUGACUUUAAUAACAUUUAGGAAAACAAAUCCACAAGAAUCCAAUGCACAAAUAUACUGAACUACAGAAAUCAGUUGUGAUUUGUAUAAAGAAUACCUGCACCGAAUAAUACAGUGCGCUGUUUCAAUCAUCUUUGACGAAAAUGCAUGUUCACGUCUGUAAACGCUUGGCCGCUGCACAGGCAGCCUCAAGAUCCCCAAGAAAGAAAAGGAUUCUAUCCGGAAUCCCUGAGUGAUGCUCUUCGACACCUUGUAGAGGCGCUACAUCAUCGCAACUUUCAUUUCUGAGAUUGCGCAUGCCCAGGUAUUUUUGGAUUUCACCUUGAUGGAUGAGAUAGUAAUCAUUACCUUCUGUGAUGAUCCUUAGGCCCCUGAGAUGCAAUACCCAAUUGUUUUGUUCUGAAUGAGCAAAGAAGCAGAGAUUUGAUGCUAACUGGUAUAGAAAAUCUACAAUGCUAUCGUCAAGCUACAAGCUCUAACAUAUGAUGAAGUUAAAAUUACUUUUCCAGACAAGUGCAUGAAGUUUCCCCCUUGGGAUGCUAAAUUUUUAGUUGCUAAGACUUCUGACAAUCUUAACCUUCAAGGAAAACCACUGCUUAAAAAGAAUAUCUUCUAUGGGAUGACCUUGAUUGAUGACCAGAAUUGAAUAAGAAUAAUAUGCCAAAGGGAAAAUACCAGAGAAAGCAUAGUCCAAUUCGAGUCUCUGCUGUAAUAAUUAACUACAGAAUCCUCAAUUUAAGGUGAUUUGUUAUAAGAAGGUUGCACUAAUUGUCAAUCUGGUCUGGAAUUAGUGAUUGUGCCAAAACAAGUCACUUGCUUGUGAGAAUGUAUUACUGUAUUAGAUCUGAUCACUGUUGAGGCUAUUAAGCAUCUUUCGUACAGUAUCUGAUGAGCCAAUCUUGUCUGAUAGUAGUCCUAGUCAUAACAAUAAAGUUUGACAAGGUUAUCUGUCCUAAUUUAAGGACCACAUUAAGAGACCAAAAAAUAAAUCUCUUCAAUACGAAAAAGAAAGGUGGAUUUCCUAAGAAAGUAAUCCUCAUCCUGAAUAGCCCUUAUUCAUAACAAUUAACAUUGCUAAGAUUACCUGUAUUAAUUUGAGGACCACAUCUAAAGACUCUGAAGAGACCAAAACAAAACUUCUCUUCGAUAUCAAGAAUGGCAUGGACAGCAAUUAGAAGGAAAGAAAUGGGAACAGACACUCAUAUAUCAAAAAGCAUGUCCUUUUGAUUCUCUUAGAAAGGUUCUUUGGGGCCAGACAAUAAAAUUUCACUCAAAGAUAGAUAAUUUGAAACAGCAACCGCUUUAAUGAGACAAGUUAGUAAUGUCUAGUGAAGAUUUCUUUUCUCCAAAUUACAAAAAAAUAGAAAAUUACUAGUCAGUUACUUCCGUUUAUUAGACUAAGCUAGUUGAUUCUUUUCUGCUUGUGAAACCUAAUACUGCAUAUCCCUAUCAGUUAUUUAUGUUAAUUUAACAUUAACAUCUAACCUGGUAGGGCAGCAAAACAAAAUUCUAUAUAACCCAAAUUUAUGAUCAAUGAGCAUCCAUACACAAUCAUUUUUAAGAGUAACUCAGAUAUGCAUUCUUUACAUACAGAAAAAUAUUAGCUGAGGAAUCUCCAUCCCAUGUUCCAAUCAACCUAUAAUUAUAAGUAUGCUUAUAAUGGAGACAGAAGUUCAACUAUUUUUCAGUAACAAUAAUAAGUUGUUAAGCUUAUCUAUGCAGUCUGUGUGCUAAAAUACCUCAGUCACAAGGGAUUCUUAGUUCAAACAAAUCUUUCUUUGGUAUUUCAAGGAAAAUCUUUGUGCAACUCCACUAAUCAGAUAAAGCAAUUGGCAUUUUGGGUUCACUUUUUACAUAAUGCAUCAGUUCCCUACUGAUGUUUAUACCUAGGUGAAAUUUCCAAGCUGUGGAAAUAUACUCACUCUUAUUGCAGAAAAUCGGUAAGAUAGCUAUCUACGUAAUGCAACUGACUUUAGUAAUGAAACCAAUUUUAGUUAUCUUCUGAUUAUGUCCAUGAGUAACAUUGAGUUGAUUAGAUGUGUUAUGUCCUUUAAAUGCAGCAUAUUCCCAUUGAAGCGAUAACUUUGUCACAACUUACAGGCAAGUUUCCAUACACCAGUAAAUCUUGUUACUGGAGCUUUACUGAAGAAGAUGUAUAAUACAGCUUUGACGCAUAAAACACUAAGAAAACAUAUUGCAUCUUGCAACAUGCACUAAUCUACUAAUUUAAGUCUUUAUUUGAUCUGCACUACAACCAUCCAUAAUAAUUAAGUGUUGCUAAGUUUUAAUCACAAAGUAAUUCGAUACCAAGCUACAUAUAUCUAUACGUAUAGAAGAACUCUGAAGCAAUGUUUCUUAAGGUGAUUUAUAAUGUCAACUUCUGUUUGCAGAUCCUUUUGAAGAAAAGGAGGACGACACAAGAUGAGCCAAAAACUUACAGUCCAAACCGGUCACAUCGGUGUUGCACUAUGUAUACAUCCUUCCAGGAUUUGGGAUCACUUGGGGCGUAAAAUGCUGCACAGUCUCCUCCCCAUCUUUCCUUAAAUAGGUUGGACCACAGUGCAUCAUCGGAUGCCAAUACCCUCCACUUUCUGCACACUAGAUUUCAGCAUGAAUCAGUAUUGAAAGCCUUUCGAAGGUAGAUGUACCCACAGUGAUUACAAUACCAAAUUUAUAAUACAAUAACUUGUGUACUAAUUUUCUGCCUUGCUCCAGGAAGCACUAUGAUCAGAAGGAUAACUUCACAUAAGCAAGCAUACUAUUUGGUGCCAUAACAUUCUAUCACAGCAAUUCUUAAGGAUAUGAACUGAAAGCUUCUAUAUACUUAGAUAAUUGAACGCCGAAAAAGAAGUGCUAAAAAAUUGGAUAAUUAGUGAGCAUGUCAAAUUAAGCUGCCAGUGUAUUAGUUUACAAUACCUAAAUGAACUAACACUCCUAUCUGUCAUUGCUAUUUGUGAUCCCAAAGCAAGUUCUUUUUGCGCCCAACGUGAUCUACCAAGUACCAAUUACACGUCUGAUGAAGACAUAUAUGAAUUGCCGUGCAAACCUGUCCUUUUAUCAACAUCUAAAGUUGCUUGACACUUCUCAUGAAUCAAGAAACGUAUUUCCAGUACAAGCUACACAUAUUUUACGAUAAUGUUUCUAAUUGCAUCGCGAACGGCAUAAAGCUACAAAAAAGUGGAAGGCAAUUUUGAAGAAACUGGCGUCGAUUAGUGAGAAUUCGGCAAGAACAAGAAACGCGAAGAUCUGCUGCGAAAGGGUAAGAAGAGGCGGACCGAUGGCAGACCUUGGGGAGCAGCAGCGAGAGAUGUAUGGUUCAACAGGUGGAAGAUCUUGAGGCACAGCUCCCCCGGCAAUCUCUCCAUGCCCAAAUCUCCUCUCGAGAAUUCCCAAGCGAGAGCGAGAGAAGAGAGAGAGGAUGAUGAUGCUUCGGCCGAACGCUAGCAUUGCAGCCCACACCCUUCCGCCAGUCUCGUGAUUGGAUGCACCGACAUGGGACCCAAAGGGCCGUGAGACGCGCAAGACCAACCACGUCAUUCCACGUGUGCGCCGAAUAAAGACGGAUUUAUUCUUAAAUCAAAAGCAUCCUCUAAAUAGUCUAAAUAAGCUGUAAUUCCUCAAAAACACUAAUUGAGAAUUUGUCGAAUUAAAAAUAGUUUUGAAGAUUUGAUAUAUAAAUAUAUAUAUUGAAGUAAAAAACGUAAUUAUAAAUUCUAGAUUGGACAAGUCGAUCGGCGUCGUUCAUUCCAAGUGUCCACCCUAUUGCCUUUCAUUCCAAGUUGACCCCCUUCUGCAGCGAGAAGACAGCUUUUGUUCUUUCUCCUGCAAUUUGUGAUUUGUUUCUGUACGUCGAUACCGUCGGUUUCAGCAACUCUAAGCGAGAAGCAAAAGUGAUCGCCUCCGAUUGACACUCGCAUCAAAUCAGAAAUGUUGUUGUACCUGUUACGUAAACACAAUACAGCCGACCAACAGUAACCUAUAGGAACUCAAAAAGUAAUGGAUAAGCCAAUCUGACAUGCUAAUUUAGAAGCAUAAAAGAUCUCAUCCACUGGCUCAUAAAUUAUCUUCUGAAACCAAAGUUUGAGACACAGCUAAUUAUCCUGACCGAUUCCUUUUUCUUAGUUAGCUCACCUAACUAAGAGAUGAAAUGAACAUUCUUUUAGGCCACUUUUUUCUCGGAAAACAUGUAGGUUUCAUCACCAGUAGAAAAUUCCAGAUUGCUGCUCCGAUUCAUCUGUCUCAUAUCCAUAAUCAUCAAGCAGCUUCGAACCCUCAUGUUCGAAGCACUUGAUCCUUGACGCCGAUCUGACCACCUCAUCGUCCACUUGAAGACCCAGGCAAUCCUUCACGGUCAAUCUUUCUAGCUUUCUGCAGCCAUUUACGAUCACCACCAACUCCUCCUUCGUCAAGUAGGAUUUGCUCAGCUCCAAGUGGUUCAGGUCCGGAAGACAAUCCACGAUGGCCUUCGCGUCUUCCUUGCCGAUCAGACCGCGCACCUUCAACCGGCCGAACCUGCUACAGUUACGGCCGAUCACGGCGAUCAUCUCCAAGAAGGAGGAGGGCUUCGUCUCCAUCUCGAGCUGCUCGAGGUCUCUCCAUCGCCCGACGAGCUCCGGGAUGAGCAGGUCGUCUUCUAGCAUAAAGUUAUCAGGCAAAGCCAGACGCUUCAACCUCGGGCAUCUGAUGAUAGGUAUGUAAAUCGUAACAGACAUCGCCGGAGACGAAGAAGACGAGAUGGAGAGAGGCGGUCAUACUCGGACUCACUUCAUCGAGACGAAGGUCAGGUCUUGGAUCGACGCGCCGAAGGACAAGGGGAAGAGGAGCUCCGCCGCGGAGCCGCGGCUGCGGGCGACCACGAACCUCAUGAAGGCGGAGAAGGAAAGGCUGCUGAGGCGGUCGCAAGAGGUGAAGCUCCUGGAGAAGUGGCUCCACGGCAUCAAGUCAAGCGACCGGAAGUCGAGGCGCCGCCAGCAGCCGGGAUCGAGGGAGGCGCGCCGCCAGCACCUGCAGACGAAGGGCACCGAGAGGGUGAGGUCGUGGAGGCCGAGCCGCCGGAAGAUGUCGACCAGGCAGUCCGCCGGCAUCUCCUCCCACCUUCUUCCGCCCUCCAUGUCGGGAGAGUCUUCGUUCAACGUUGGCCUUGGCGACUCGCUCUGCUUUGGGUUGAUUGGAUUAUAAGCGCAAAUCGGUUCGAUUUCGAAUUCGCCCGAUUGAAUCAGCACAUUCUCGUGCCAAUUUGGGUUUAUGUUUUCGGACCGGUCCACUUGGAGGCUCGCGUUCGAAGGUCUCAUCUACCACAGGCUGAGCAGUGACGGCUGUCCAAACUAGGCCGGUGCAAUUAUUAGAGUGGUACCAACAAAUCGAUCAGCGAGGGUUCGAAUCGAAAUAUAUCACCAGCCACCGACUCCCCCCACCUAAAUUAUGUCCUCCAUUCUUUUUGAGUGAAAAGAAAGAUAAAAAAGAUAUAAAGUUUGGUGAGAAAAGACGGCACAUGUUCAAAUAGUUCCAUGGUUCCCUGUGGAGGGGUUGCAUGACAGGCAAUAAUUAUAUGGAGUUUCUCAGAUUAUAUGACAAAGAAUAAUGUUGAUAUCCUACGAGGAUUCAAUGUGUCAUGAAAAAUGCUGCAUAAUUAAGGUAAAAUCAAUUAAAUGUGUGAUACACAGUAACAUUGUUUAUUUCGAUGAACAAUAACUAAAGGUGAACUAAGUGAACAUUUUGAGAGAACCUUAGCAAAUAGAAAGAACAGAAUAAAAGAGGACUCCGUGUUGAUUAGGCUUGUUGAGUUCAUCUUAUUUGUUGCAUAACAAAAUCUAAAGCUGAUAGACAUGUAAUGAACAUAAUCAACUUACUUGGGUAUAGUGAUCAGGCAAUUGACAACAGCAGCAGGAGGACGUUGAUCGGCCAUCUGCUUCCAUCUACCCAGUCUGACUAUUACAUAUGUGGAACUGCAAGGCAGAAUCAUAGAGUCCAGAGAAGAUUCAUAGGCAUCAUCUACAAGAAAGGGAACAAGCAACGGAGAAGAACAGAGAAAGGGAAGGCGCCAUGAAAGAAGACGACCUAAGGAACAAAAGAGAGAAAAAUUACAAAGUUUAUCGUGGAACACAUAAGUCUGAUUUAAAUCAGAAAGCAUUCUCAUCCGGUAGGAUAAAGUGGAGGUUUAAUUAAGUUGACAAAAAGACCAGUCAUCCAAAAUCAAGCUGAAAACCUGAAUUUUAUAACCUCUAAUGUGCCAAAGAAUACUCCCUCAAAAGAUUUAGCCAUUCUGAAAACAUCAUCAGCUGAAUAUAAACAGCAAGUUGUUUAUAUUCCAUUUUCUUCUAAAUUGCUAAUGGCAUCAACUAGUUAGUGUAAGAAUUAUUUUCCUCCAUCCCUUUGAUAUGACCGACCCUAAUUAGUAUACCACAUUUCCAGAUUGUGAAGUUGAAUCAUCGCUACAUUUAUAUUUCAUCAUGUCAGUGUUUCUCUUCAUGGCACAAACCAACUGUGUUUUAAAAUGAAAAUUAGGUGUCAGCAUAGCAAUUAAAAUCUUAGACGAAGUAGAUACCACGGUUAAUUACUCAACAUAGCUAUUAAAAUCCUAUGAGCCAAAGAAGUGUAUCAUAAAAGACUGUAAAACAAGAAAUUAUAACAUCUGACUAAUUUUUGUGAUUAUCCACUUUGGUCAAAUUCAUUUUAUCCUAUGCGCAAAGAUAUAUUUUUAUUACCUUUUCUUUUUGAAUAGUCCAUCAUAUUAUUGCAAUAACUGAAAUAUAGUAGUUCAUGUCAUUUCCUGGUACUGUCUCAAAGUUGCCAAAAAAAGUAAAUGAUGUAGGAUUUAAUGCAUGAGCAAGAAGAAAAUCAAAAGAUGAAAGAGUAAAGACUAGCAUACGAAUUGGAACAUGAAAAAGUUACAUGCCAAAAAAAAUGUAACUUAGCUACAAAUGUUAGAAAAAAAUCCUUGGAAGUCAUGAGAAGUUUCUAAUGUGCCUCAAGGUGGGCUUAGAUGUGAGGGAAUCUAUAAAAGGAAUUAUGUUUUGCCGGUGACAAUUCCAUGAUAAGAUAUGUCAAUACAAUGUUAAAGUAAAACUGAAAAAAUGAUGCCAAGAUGGCAUGGUGGUGCUUUGUGUCUCUGAACUAAUUAAUGUUGAAGGACAACAAUAAAAUUUCCAGUUUAGCAAAAGAUAUGAUUGUUCUUCAUAAUAUUUUACAUAAACAAAGAACAAUGUCACUCUGAUUACCUCCAAACUCCGAAACAAGUAACAGUGAAAAGAAAAUUUCUAUGCAUUUUUCAGGACAAUGCUUCCACCACCUACAUAUGAAAAAUAUACCUAGAAUUCCUGUUAAACCAAAUGAGCAAACAAAUUACAAUCAGUUCUAGUUAUAAACACAAAAAUAACUUUCGAGCAGCUCGACAAUGGUGCCAAUCCAUAGAAUGCAUUCAUUCAAUAGGAAAAAGAAAAAAAGAGUCGAUCCAACUUCACCAAGCAGAACCAAUGGAUCUUUUUAUACUUCACGAGAAAGUAAUGCCAAAAAAGUAUAAUCAACAACAUCCUGAACUCAUGGAUGACAAGAUCAGACAAGGAGCAUGACAACAUCUAAUAGCCAAAGGAAAAUCUUUGAUCACAAAAAGAAUACGGAAGACAUUAGCAGGAUUCUGACACACAAAUGCAAGAUCCAAGCAGCUAAUGCUCUAAUUGUACUUUACCACAAACAAGUAGCACAGGAUUAACUUGACAAGCUCCUGAUUCAUGCAAGCAAAAAUCCAUAAUAUGUAAAACUUAUCACUUGCGAUCCUACAUCAACUCAAUUGUUUCUAAUAAGCUUAUUGCAAUAAUCUUUCUGACCCUCCGGUCAUUCCACCAAACGCGUUAAGGUCAAAAUUUGGUAUAUCGAUAACAUAGACUUAUCCGAAAGGACAAAAGAGAGGGAGAGAUCGAACCCUAGAUGGGCACGUAUCUCCUCAAGACCUGCUUCCCCGCUACAGCAGCUCCAACCAUGAGCCCGCCGAUGGCGCCAGCGACGGCCGCUGACCGCGGCCCGUUGGCGGCCUUGAAUACGGCACCGGUACCGAGCCCGGCGACGACGCUGUUGACCCAGUCGUCCGUAUCCCUCGCGGCAACCAUCCCGCUCUCAAGCCCGGCGUACAAGAGGCCGAUGACGCCGACGCGGUUACCGAUCCGGCGGCCAUUCUGGCCGCAAGAGUUAAGGACGCGGUUGAGCCGGAUCUUGAGGGUGUCCCCAGGCUCAGCGGAGCGGAGAGCGCCGCGCAGGCCGAGCGAAGCGCCGGCAGCGGCGCCGGUGAGGUACCCGAUGCCGGUGUAGUAGGUGAGGUUCUCGCCCCAGGAGCGGCGCUGGGCGACGGACUCCUCCUGGAAGAGGAACUCCGGCGAGGUGGGGAGGUCGUAGAGGGUUCGGUAGGGGAUCUGCAAUUCGUGGUAGGGGCUGUAAAGCC